UGGUCGGGAUAGCUCAGCUGUGACG
rnacentral:tRNA from 1 species